GGUUUUCAUGUGCAGUUCUCUGUUUUCGUCAUUACAUCUCUUGAGGAUUCACAAUCUGUUCUGUCAAUACGUUCGUCUCUCGAGGAUGCUGUUUGUGGAUAUAUAAUUACAGUGGCGGAACCAAGACAUCAUGUUAAUAACAGCGAACGAAAAUUACACCGAAAAUAACCGUGUUCUUUCUUACAACAGAAAAGUUUCAGCUUUCUCCCUCAUGACAUAGUGAACUGAACU